CCGCUGAGCUACACAUCGGCCCAUUAAGGGAUGGUUUUGAGUUCCGGAUGGAUAAGUUUUCACAUAGACGCAUAAGUUAUUUGAGGGCUUCCGUGCAUGAGGGCCGUCACGCUUGCAGCCGAAGACGAUGUCAAAGAACGCAUUGUGUUUCUGCCCAUCACUGCAUAUACUGCACCUGUCAACAGGCCUCAACCAUCGGCCAGCUUUACUUUAGUCAGACAGCAGAAGAGAAAUGAAUGGGAGGGACAAUAAAAGGGUAAAGAAUGAGCGCCAAUCAUGGGGCUUAAGCGACCCUGCAGGCUCCGAAAGAGGCCAAGGCAUUAGGGUCAGAGGACGAAGAUGGCGGGGCCUGGAAGGAGGCGCAGAGCGGCUCCCCGUCACCGGGCCGUCCGGCUCGCUGUCGUCCAUCCUGACAGUGAGGAGGUGCGUUUCACAGGGGCUUGUGCGUAGGCGUCCAUGCCUGCGCCUGCCUGGCAGAGAUUGGGGGCCAGCGGCCCGUCGCCACAGUGUUGGCGGCAGCUCUGGGCCAGGGUGACGGUGAACCCCUGUCAGGCGUCCAUUGAAGCCCUCGCCUGCGCCUCCUCAGCCGCCGCACCACACGCACCUACCAUCCCCUUCUGUUCCCGCCGUUUAUUACCCCCCUGACCUGCACCCACAAGAAAGCAUCGUGACAACUUGACAGCAGCGCUGCGGAGAUCCCUCUUACCCACCUACCCACCGGAGAUUUGGCGGGAAGCAGAGAGAGGAAGUGGCAGCAAGCGACAGAACCAAUCGGACGUACUCUUACUGGUAAACAUUACAUCACUGUGUUAUUGUUCUGUGAUCCCAGCUUCACCCAACAGGUUUUCAAAUGCAGUGCGCAAAUUUAAAAAGAUGCUUCUUCAUAUUUUUGCAUCAUGAAUCUCGUCGUCAACCAUCCGUGACUUUGAUGUAGAUAAUAUUUAAUAGAGUAAUAUUUUACUCUUUCUCCUGAAUCAUCUUUGGGGUUUCUUGCAUUUGAGGAACUAGUUACAAACUGUACUGUAGAUUAUAUUGACAGAGCUGUUGUGUAACCUUACAUCCCGUUUGGGGUAAGAAUGGUAGAUCAGGAUUGUGGGAGUAAAACUGGGGGUUUGUUUCUGGUUUGGACUGUGAGCUGUGCCAAUGAAAGGUCAUGUACAUUUGUACAUUUGUACAGGUAUAAUGUAAAUGUUCAUAUCUUUGUGGGGGUGUCUGUUUCUUUAGUAAGUCCCCUCAAAGUGCGUUUCAUUUACAAAGUAACUCCCCACCCUAGAUCUAAUAAUAUGUGCUGUGAAAAUGGUGUUAUUUAGUGUCUUCCUAAUCCGGUAUCUUAUUUGAUUAAUAUUAUUAGCUAACACAUAUUUAAUUCUGUAUCUAAAUACUGAACUUCAUGGUGACUGUAUAUAGAUCAUUAAAACAUAGUGAUCCAUC